rfam:Brassica oleracea var. oleracea cultivar TO1000 chromosome C5, whole genome shotgun sequence
CAUAUAAUAUCAUAACUAAUAUACUGGAUCCCAUCAGAGUUCUGUAGUUAAACGUGAUUGGACCAGAGUAGUACUAGGUUCAUUCAAAAAAACAAACAAAAGAAAUACUCACUUGUGGCUUCUUUCAGGAACCUCUUGUUGCAAUGU